rnacentral:lncRNA from 1 species
AGAAUCACUACUAAUAACUGUUUGCAUAAUAUAUUUACUUAAUAUCUUUUCAGGAUAGUUAGUCAAGAGAAGACAAUGCUUAAAACUGAGCACCGGGCCUAAACUGAAGUGCCUUGAGGAGUAGGUGAAAGAUGCUACAACAAAGAACAUCCCUUAUAAUCAUUUAAAUUGAACUUGGAUUGCCUAAAGAAUGAGAAAAGGAAACUAGUUUGAAUGGGACCACAGGCGGACUUGAAUCUAUCCUUAGAAUAACUCCAGGAUAGGAUUCUUACCUUGCAUACCAAAAGGAGACAAUAGAAAGAGAAUAGUGAAAUCCUG